rnacentral:rRNA from 1 species
GACGUAGGAGGCGAGCGUUGUCCGGAUUCAUUGGGCGUAAAGGGCGCGUAGGUGGCCCGGUCAGUUCGUGGUGAAAGCGCGGGGCUCAACCCUGCGUCGGCCAUGAAUACUGCCGCGGCUGGAGCACUGUAGAGGCAGGCGGAAUUCCGGGUGUAGCGGUGGAAUGCGUAGAGAUCCGGAAGAACACCGGUGGCGAAGGCGGCCGUGCUGGGCAGU